rnacentral:lncRNA from 13 species
CUGACCCCUCCAGCCCACACCUGCUCCUUCAGAGAGGGUCCUGUGGUGGGCACCCUCCGUUUCCAUGCCCCACUGCCCCCACCGGCCACCCCCAACUCAGCGCCCUACCUAGGCCAGCUCUGUCAUCACCAGCCAACACAGAUCCGUCCAACUGGCAAGGGGGACAGUCCCCUCCUUUGUGACAAGUGUGGAUCCCAGCCCCAAGAAUAAGAAAGGAAGAAGUAGAGACAGAAGGAGAACGAGCAGGGCUGGGAGGCACAGUGGGACUCCCCUGGCCCCUCAGGUUUUCCUUCCUGAUGCAAGAUGAGAGACAGAGGUGCUAGGCAGGUUCCCCAAGAGCUGGUGUAAUUUAUUUUGUCAUUCGUUAUUAUUCAUUAUGGAUAUUAGUAUCCACAGCAAAUAUUCCUAGGAGCCGGACUCUUGGCUCACACCUGUAAUCCCAGCAUGCUGGGAGUCUGAGGCAAGAGGAUUGUUUGAGCCCAGGAGUUCGAGACCAGCCUGGGCAACAUGAUGACUUAUUUUGGAAAAAGUCACCUGCCAUGUCAUGAGAACAUUCAAGCAGCCCUGUGGAGAAAUCCAUGUGGUGAGGAACAGAGGCCUCUUGCCAACAGGCAGAAGAACCCGGCAGGCCUGUCUCAGAUUCAGAGCCUCCAGCCCCAGUCGAGCAUUCAGAUAACUGCAGCCUUGGCUGACAUCUUGACUACAAGCUCAUGCCAGAUCCUGAGCUGGAACUACUCUGCUAAGUUGUUUACAAAUGCCUGACCCACAGAGAGACUGUGAGACCAAAGAAGUAUAUUGUUUUUAGACGUUUUGGAGUAAUUUAUUAUGCUGCAAUGGAUAAUUAAUACGGAAUUUGGUGGUUUUAUGAUUCUCAACUCCUGGCCAAAGCAAAGCACAUAGCAAAUCUCAAAGAAAGGUCUCACAACUGGAUUGAAAGUACAAAGCUGGCCAGGCAAGCCUGUGCAGACAUGUAUGUGGUGGAGUUGAAAACCACACACUACAACUCAAACGAGGUGAGUAAAACCUGCUUCUUGCUUGAUUUUUCUUGUACUGUUCUUAUCUUGAUCUAAUGAGAUACUUCCUGCUGUUGACAGGCAAUACAUAAAUGAAUGAAUGAG